CGAGCAGGCCGGGUGGUCGCUGUGGUCUAUGAGCCACAGAGGAAAGUCCGAACUCCGCCAGGCGGGAUGCUGGGUAACGCCCAGGAGGAGCGAUCCUACGGAAAGUGCAACAGAAACACACCGCCCUGUACUGGGGCAAGGGUGAAAUGGUGAGGUAAGAGCUCACCGGCGGCAGAGCGAUCUGUCGGCCGUGCAAACCCCAUCCGGAGCAAGACCAAAUAGGGGGAUAUGGUUUGCCUGGACCUUCCCCGGGUUGGUCGCAUGACUGCAGUGGCAACACUGCAGCAAGAUGGAUGACCACCGCCCUGUGCUUGCAGGGGCACAGAAUUCGGCUUACAGGCCUGCUUGGCGA
rnacentral:RNase_P_RNA from 1 species